rnacentral:rRNA from 1 species
GACGAACGCUGGCGGCAGGCUUAACACAUGCAAGUCGAACGAGAAGCCAGAGCUUGCUCUGGUGGACAGUGGCAAACGGGUGAGUAACGCGUGGGAACAUGCCCAGUAGUACGGAAUAGCCCAGAGAAAUUUGGUGUAAUACCGUAUACGCCCUUCGGGGGAAAGAUUUAUCGCUAUUGGAGUGGCCCGCGUUAGAUUAGAUAGUUGGUGGGGUAAUGGCCUACCAAGUCUACGAUCUAUAGCUGGUUUGAGAGGAUGAUCAGCCACACUGGGACUGAGACACGGCCCAGACUCCUACGGGAGGCUGCAGUGAGGAAUAUUGGACAAUGGGGGAAACCCUGAUCCAGCCAUGCCGCGUGAAUGAAGAAGGCCUUAGGGUUGUAAAGUUCUUUCGUCGGUGAAGAUAAUGACGGUAGCCGAAGAAGAAGCCCCGGCU